rnacentral:tRNA from 1 species
GCCGGAGUGGUGGAAUUGGUAGACACGCGAGAUUUAGGUUCUCGUGCUCGCAAGGGCGUGCAGGUUCAAGUCCUGUCUCCGGCACCA